rnacentral:rRNA from 1 species
GACGAACGCUGGCGGCGUGCUUAACACAUGCAAGUCGAACGGAAAGGCCCUGCUUUUGUGGGGUGCUCGAGUGGCGAACGGGUGAGUAACACGUGAGUAACCUGCCCUUAACUUUGGGAUAACUUCAGGAAACUGGGGCUAAUACCGGAUAGGAGCUCCUGCUGCAUGGUGGGGGUUGGAAAGUUUCGGCGGUUGGGGAUGGACUCGCGGCUUAUCAGCUUGUUGGUGGGGUAGUGGCUUACCAAGGCUUUGACGGGUAGCCGGCCUGAGAGGGUGACCGGCCACAUUGGGACUGAGAUACGGCCCAGACUCCUACGGGAGGCAGCAGUGGGGAAUAUUGCACAAUGGGCGGAAGCCUGAUGUAGCAACGCCGCGUGCGGGAUGACGGCCUUCGGGUUGUAAACCGCUUUCGCCUGUGACGAAGCGUGAGUGACGGUAAUGGGUAAAGAAGCACCGGCUAACUACGUG